rnacentral:rRNA from 1 species
UACGGAGGGUGCGAGCGUUGUCCGGAAUCACUGGGCGUAAAGGGCGCGUAGGCGGCGCGAGCAGUCCGUGGUGAAAGCCCGAGGCUCAACUUCGGGUCGGCCACGGAUACUCUCGGGCUCGAGUGUGGUAGAGGCCAAUGGAAUUCCGGGUGUAGCGGUGGAAUGCGUAGAGAUCCGGAAGAACACCGGUGGCGAAGGCGGUUGGCUGGGCCACUACUGACGCUGAGGCGCGACAGCGUGGGGAGCAAACAGG